rnacentral:rRNA from 1 species
UGUUAUUAAAAAUUAUAAUAAAAAAAAUAGAGUAGUAUUAGUUAUAUUCUUGAAACUUAAUAAAUUUGGCGGUAUUUUAAUCUAUUCAGAGGAACUUGUUUUAUAAUUGAUAAUCCUCAUUAUAUCUUACUUAAUUUUGUAAAAUUUGUAUACCGUCGUCAUAAGAAUUUCUUAAAAGGGUAAAAAUUUUCAAAAAUUUCAAUUAUUAAUAAUGUCAGAUUAAGGUGCAGUUAAUAUUUAAGUAAAAAUGAGUUACAAUAAAAUUAUUUAAAAUGAAUUAAAAAAUUAAAUUUUUUUAUGAAGGUGGAUUUGAUAGUAAAAUAAACAAUUAAAUUUAUUUGAUGUUAGUUCUAAAAUAUGUACAAAUCGCCCG